rnacentral:rRNA from 1 species
UGGGGAAUCUUGCGCAAUGGGCGAAAGCCUGACGCAGCGACGCCGCGUGAGUGAUGAAGGCCUUCGGGUUGUAAAGCUCUGUGGGGAGAGACGAAUAAGUGCAGGCGAAUACCCUUCAUGAUGACGGUAUCUCCUUAGCAAGCACCGGCUAACUCUGUGCCAGCAGCCGCGGUAAGACAGAGGGUGCAAACGUUGUUCGGAAUUACUGGGCGUAAAGCGAGUGUAGGCGGUUUCGUAAGUCGGAUGUGAAAGCCCAGGGCUCAACCCUGGAAGUGCAUUCGAUACUGCGAGGCUAGAGUACUGGAGAGGUUGGUGGAAUUCUCGGUGUAGAGGUGAAAUUCGUAGAUAUCGAGAGGAACACCGGUGGCGAAGGCGGCCAACUGGACAGAUACUGACGCUGAGACUCGAAAGCGUGGGGAGCAAACAGG